UCAAAAUGAUAAUUUUAACUUAACAUUUUAUCCGAGUCAAGUUUUUGAGUCAAAAAGUCAACACAAUAACUUAAGCGUGGAUUUGGAAGCUAGAUACUAACUACAAAAGAAUAUGGAUGAUUCUCAAGUUAGUUUUUAAGCUUAGAAUACCUAAUGUAAAAGAGUUUUUUUUUAAAAUAAAAUAAAAUUGAAGAACUUGAACAAAAUAUCUUCCCAAGGAUUCAUCUAAGUUAGUAGUCAACAAAUAAAAUAAUAAAUAAUAACACAUCCGACAUGGUAAAAUAUGACAAAAUUUAAAAGAAUUUGGACUUUUGGUCCAAACGAAGGUAGGCGCUGCUGUUGCUGAAUUAAAGUUGGACUUUCUUUUAAGUCCAAUUUUCAAUUUUCGUUUCAGCCAUUUAGGCUACUGCUGCUGCUGCCAUAGUGUAAAAUUGGACCUUUUUAAGUCCAAAAAUCCUCAAUUUUAGUCCAUUUGGGACUGCUGCAAUAAUCAAAUUGGAUUCUUAAAUCCAAAAUUCAAUUUCCUGCCAUUUUUUAUUGCUAUUACUCCGCUACUUAGCUGCUGCCACUGAUUUGGGUUUAAACCCAUUAACAUUAGCUUCCCUUUCACGAUUUCGAUGAGGUUGACUCAAGAAGAGAAAAAUGCAAGAGAGGGGAGUCCAUUGGACUCAUUCGGAGAGAGUUCAUGAAAAGAAAAUGAGAGAAAUAAGGAUUAGACGUCUGAUGAAAUAAAUCAAUUAACUGGAUUCAUUAAAUUGCUAAACAACCAACUUAAACCAGAUACAAAAUAUAACACUUGAAGUUACGAAAUGAAAGUACUACUAACAGUGAUCACAAAGAUAUUAGACACAAAUCAGGACAAACACCUAUCCUUACGGAAUCUAAAGUCAAAUGCCAAUUAGCACGUCAUUAUUUCAAUGCAUUCAAUAAAAGAGACCAUACUAGUACUAACAUAAAAUGAGAAACAAGUAAAAUGCCAAAACUAAUUAAAUAAAAGAUAAGGUAAUGAAUAGAUCCACUUAUGAUCUACAACAAACAAUAAGAAAUUCACUACUAGUAUAAACCAAUAACAGUCCUAGAUGGAGGAACUAACAACGAUAGGCAGCCAAAAAUUUACAUAACAACAACUAAACCCAUUUGCUAUUAAGUAUACUGCUACUUGAACACAACCUUGGACUAAAACAAAACAAAAAAAAAAAAGAGUGCGAAACGAAUUCAUACAUAGUUUAAAGAUAAGCAAGUUUAGACUCAAUUUGAUCAAAGUUUUAAGCCAUCUCCUUUAGCAUACACGAAGGACAAAUAAGAAAGCAGAGAGCAGGAAGAUAUAAAAAUAACUUUACGCCGAAAUAACUUAGCGAUUUAAACAAGGAUUCAAGUAGAGUAGUCUAAUAAAUUUUAGGAUGUAUAAAAACUAUGAUAUGAGCUUUCACCCAUCCCAACCUAACUCUUUUGAGAGUACUAAAGAGCAGCCCCCAAACGUAAGCUAUUUCUCACUCAAACGGUCCCUUGAUUUGCGUUGAGAGCCAAAUGAUCUGUUGAUUAGCAAAUCACACUAACACAUUUAUGCUUACAGGAGUCUACUAAAGAGACAUUGAUCCUUGCUUAAAGGGGAAAAUCGAAUUAACCUUGUGUAUACCUUGAGCAAAAUAAUUAAACUAAUUUAAAGAUAAGAAAUAUGCUAAACCAUGAUCAAUACGAGAGAGAAUCAGCAGCUAAUCUUAACACAUAAACAAACUCAAGCUUAUUUAAUACUCAUCGUCUGGACAAAACAAUCUUAAACUCAUACCACCAAUAAGAUUUCACCUUAAAAAAAAAAAACAACUAAUCAGCAGUUUCACAUUUAUAAAACAGAUCGGAGAAAUCAGGCUUCGACAAAAAUAGAGGCAAUAAUCUUAACACAUAAGACAACAACUUAAGGCAGAAAACAACAACUAUAUAACAAGAAUUUCGAAAUCAAAUAAGAAUAACAGUAACUAGAAGCACAUAUAUGAACUCGAUUAAGUGAAAGAAUCACAUUCAUAUCUCUGAAUCAUAAGAAAACAACCAUCAAUAGAGAAAAAUAUUUAAACUCAUUCAAAAUUGACUUGACUUUAAAAUAACAGGAUAAUGAAGACCUUUUUCUGUCAUUCACACCACUAAUCCCAUUGAAUCUAAAAAAGACAAAUAACAAUACUAAACAAAUAACAACUCUACAACGCAACAGAAAGAAAAGACUGAAGAAAGAGCAAGAGAUUACCUGGUUCUGGGCAGCGACUGGAACUCGAGUCUGAACGUGGCGAACUCCACCACCACUCCGACUCAAAAUAGCCGCGGAUCAAUUGAAUUUCAGUGACGAAAAUAAGAACUCCCAAAAACUUAGCGGGGUGCUCUUUUCUUCGCCUCCCAAAACUCUCCCCCGUGAACAGUAAGAAGGAGGUUAUUUAUAGGGUUGAAAAAUCUGAAAAUCACAGCCUAGAAACGAUAUGGGACUGCGAGUAAUUUAAAAAAUCUUCAGCGGACAAGGCUACACAGCUGGAAGGUGUACUAUUCCAGUACUAAUCCAACGGAAAAAAUGAUCUGGAACGCUUGAUUCUUGAGAAGGACGAUUGAGGUAUCGAGAUCGCAACACCUGUCUCGUCCUUGUACGAUUGCAUACUGAAAGGGUAAGGGAGAGAGGAGAGGACCACGCAGGUCUGGGUCGGGUUCACUGGGGCUCGGGUCUGCUGGGU
rnacentral:lncRNA from 1 species